GAGAGGAACAUGGGCUCAGGACA
rnacentral:miRNA from 1 species